rnacentral:lncRNA from 1 species
CACUUGCUACCAAGAAAUCUUAACCAAUUCAAAACAUUUUUACAAUUGCAUAGGUGAACUCAGCUGGAAUGGUGGGUACUGAAGAGGGUGCUGGCUUCAACAAAGGACUGAAAGGAUGAAGUGUGACGCUUCCUAUCUGACUUCCCACAUAGGCUGCAAGACUGAUGCCUGAUAAUAUGCUCAAGUGCCAAUGUACUCCGGGGCUGGUAAGUUGGUCAUGGAACAGAUGCUAUGCAGAAUGUGACUUAAUUUCAUUAGGAAUUUUGCAUUUGCCAAAAUAUGUUUUUGCCAGAAGUGCGAGCAUAUCGGGGUUGUGUGUUUGUUAAAAUUGAACAAGAUCCCAGAGAGCCCUGGAGAGCAUCACAGGUGACCUAGCAGAUUGUGUCCCGAUUUCCCACAGUGAGCCCCACAGAGAUGCAUUUCUCUGGGAGCCUCUGCCGCUGAUGAAUGACUCAGCCCAGCAAGCUGAUGAGAGGCUUCCGAAAUCCACACCUUUGCAGACCUCCUGCCCACACCCUACCCUAAAGGGAAAGUCAUCUCCUCGGCAGUUUGUAGUCAACACACACUUGAGGAUCUGCAGUCGUGAGAAAGUUCCAAGUGUCCCUGCAGGACAGUCCUUGAGCAUGAGCACGAAGCACUUGACCCUCCUACAACUCUGCCUCCUCCCUUUCUCCCUUCUCCACUCCAGUGCCCUAACCCCCCACCCCGCACCCCCGCUCCAAAACCUAGGCUCAGGACAACACAUGCUUCUCUUUCCUAUCCCAGGCUUCCUCCCAUUAUUUAGGGCCCCGAAAUAUACUAAAAUUGAGGGUGAUGGAAAACCCAUAGAGCCAUUUUCCUUAUCUAGGAAUGCCACAGUUAAUAAAAUAUAAUGAAUGCCUAACUGCUAAAAAUUGUCAAUUGGAAGGAUAGCCAGUUUGAUCAAUAUGGCAGACUGAAAUCCAGAGAGGCUGUUUUAUUUUUUUUAUUUAUUUAUUUAGGUACUGGGAAUCAAACUCAGAACCUUGCACUUAGCCAGGCAGAUGCUGUGCCACUGAGCUAUAUCCCCUGCCCCAAGAGAGGUUGUUUUAAUACAGCACACUGAGUUACUUUUUUUUAAUUGAAUACACAGUUGAACUGUCAGGAAAGUAAAGAAAUUCCUCAAUAAAGCUUGAACCCAGGGGGCAAGCAAUACUAUUGAUGAAAUGUGUUGAUUCGUAUGGCUUAAAGCCUGGAUUUUUAACAACCCACAUAUAUAGGGCCCAAGAAUAUACAAACUUACCUUUCAAAAUAAAUAAAAAUAAUUUUCAUAUAAGAAGAGUUUAAUUAACAUUUUAUUUAAUUCAUUAAUGAGAGAACCAGCAGAAUGACAAAGCCAGUGCAAGGAGAGGCACAAGGAAUCCAUGUGUGUGACAGCUCAACAUAGUGGUUCUAUAUCACUGCAAAAAGCAAAUAGAGAAUCGGAUGUUAUGGUUUGGUUCUGGAUGUCCCCCCAAAGCCUCAUGCAGUCAUGGGGUUGGGCUUCUAGAGUUUAUGACUGAUUCAUAGGUGUGAGUGCUACCCCCGGGCAGAUGUUUGCAUAUGUAAGGGAAAGAAAGAGGCUGCUUGCCACCACUCCUCCCUUUUACUCUUGUUGCUUUGCUGUUUUCUGCCACCAUGAACUGUUGCCCUCCAACAUGUGCCACUCUGCCUUGGAGCCAGCCGAGUAUGGACUGAAACCUCCACAAAUUGUGAGCUAAAUAAACCUUUCCUUCCUUAAUUUUGGGUGUCGGGUAUUUUGUCCCAGCAAUGAGAGAAAAGUAACAAGACAAGGGGGUGGUGAGGCUCCUAG